GAUUUUCCCCCAUUCCCUCUGAGCACAGCAAAAAGGGGACAGAAAACUCUUUGGAGCACUUUUUCUAGAAACAAACAAGUGAACAAGGAAGUCAUAAAAUCUUAAAACACAAACUGAGCCAGAAAACUCCCUUUCUGGAAGCUGCUGCCACUUCUUCGCUCCCUUGGUCCCUGUUUUCUUCCCCUACCCCAUCUCAGCCAUCAUUCCCAUCCUGGUCAUCAUCCCCUUCCCUCCCCUGUGCUGCCCUUUCUGGCUGGAGACAGAGAGGAGCGAGUCACUGAGAUGGAGGGAAGGGCACUGGGCAUCCCCAGGAAUACGCAUGGAAGGAGAAGGCAUCCAAUGCCACUGCAGCAUUGGGAGGGGAGGUUGGUGGUGGUUGGGAUUUCAUCUAAGGGGUGCCUUGCCUGUCCUCCCCAGCCCCAAAACUCCUGGGCUGAGUUUUUCUAGGGAAACGUGUUUGCAGGUCCCUCCUUGCUUCCCGGCUGCCCUCACCAGUGGGGAGCCAAGACCUUGCAAGCCAAUGCCCAACUCCAGGCUCGCUGAAAAGCUGCUUUCUGGAGCUGUAGGCACUGAGCUGCCUCUGCUGCAAAGCACAUCUCUCCCUGUGGCUGUCUUUGCUUUCUCCCUCAUCUUGCGCUAGCUUGCAAAGCUGAUACCUCAGGGGUCUCCGUUCGUGCGUGUCUGUGUCCUGUGUCAUCCUUUGAGCGUUCUUCGUUUCUGGAUCCACUCUUUUUUUUUUUUCUCCCUUACCUUUGUACCUCCUUUUGUUGUUCUUUUCUAUCUCUAAAUCAACUUACACAUGACAAAAAUAAACGAUCUCAGGUUAAACAGUGAACACAGCCCAGAGGCAUGAGGAGCUGUGAUAGAGCAAGGAGGAGCAGCUUGCCGCUCCCUGACCUCCUCUGCCUCCAUCUGGGUGCCUGAAGCUGAGACAAGCCUGCCUAGAGGCUCAUUUCUGUCUUCAACAUGGCUUUAUUCUUGCUGUUUUACAAUGAGGCCAUGCUGGGGAGGUCCCACAUGCUCUCACUUGGUGCCCCAAGGUCCCCUGGGAGCGCACCACCAUCCAUUACUGCCUUCAUCAAGCUGCUCAAGCCAGCUCAGUCAUGCUGACCUGAACCUUGGAGUAGGUAGAAAGAGCGUUCCAUCUCCUGGCCUUGCAGCUGCAAGCCAACCCUACGGUCUGAGAAGAUGGUGAUGCUAGUAAAGCUGUGCCAGGGCUUUUCAGCCUUUGCCUCCUCAGCUUUCAGCCACUUACACCCCUUUAGUUACUGCCUGCUCCACCAACCUCAUUUAAUGACAACCUCAUUUACAAUCUACUCUUUCUGCCUGUCAUUUUUGUUGUGCAUUCAUUGAAACUUGAGAAAUGUCCCCCUCCCGGCCACAAAAGGAAGAUGAAAUCAUUCUCUACCCAUCACCUCCAUCUCAGAAGCUAAGCAGCUCUUCGGGAGUUGCAUUCACUGUAGAGUCUCCCUGCUGGGCAUUAAUUUACAGAAAGAGGAUGACAGGUUGGCAUGGCGAGGCAGUAGCAAGCGUUCACAUAACUCAUCCCAUUAGCUGGCAUGGUGUGUUACAAACGUACAUAAAAAGCAGCUGGAGUAUGCCAGGAAGGAAAGGGUGAGUGUUGUGGAUAAGACUCUGAAUGUCUGCAGAGGCGGAUGCGUGGUUUGCAUUUUGUCAUCUCUCUACCAUGCCCUGGAAUGCUCCUCAGCCGUGCGCGAGGCUUUAGGCACUAUGGGUUCCUCUCUUCUCUGAAACCAGAGCAAAAAGAAACCUUUUAAGAUUCGUAGAUAGAUCAUAGCUGCCAAGAGACACUCAUCACCCACCUCUGCAGUCUUCUUCCAAAGUCCUUCAUGUUCAUCCUUCCCCUUUACGUUGGGUGUGUGCACUAGAAGCCCUCUUGUGCAAUGUUUUAAGGCGACAUCCAGAAAAUACCUUGUGUUGCAGCAGCCCUGCCUGAGCUGGGGCUAACCGCCAGUGCUAAACCUGAGCCAGGAGGGUCACCAGGAGGCUUGCAAUUAACGUCAGUGAUUUUUCCAAUCUGCCUGAUGGACAACUUUGUCCACGAAUCAAAGAGUUGUCGUGAGGGUGGAUGUGUUGGCUAGCAGUCCACCCCAUCAUCUUCUGACCAAGCCGUUUUAUGGGCUCUUGCAACCAGACUACUCAAUCCAAGUUUCACUGGGACCCAAAUGGUGUCCACCCUCAUCUGAUGAGCGUCGAUUUCCUUGUAGUGGCAGAAGUGAGCAGAGGAGAGGAAGGGUCUCUCCUUCUGAGGGAGGAACCAUCAAAGCUAGUUAGGCACUGCAGCUGCCACAUGCCCUGUGGUCCAGGACACCCCACCACGUCCACACCAGCGUCGUCCCUGAUGCAGUGGUGGUGGUGUUGGGGCUUUUGACCAUAUGAAGGAUGGACCAAACCACAGCUUUCCUUCUGGCUAGAAGGAACAUCACUCCAGCCCCCUGACUGCCUCCAGGCACGAACCCCUCAGCUGGAUCCUUCCCAUCCACAUUUUGGGGGCUGAGCAAACCUGGAGGGAGGGCAGUAAUCAGGUUGGCAACACCGAGCCAGAGGCUUGGGUCGGAGCAGGCUCGUCCCCAGCCUCUGUGGCAGCGUCCCCAGCCACUGCUGCCUUCCCAACCCUUCUCUUUGUUUCUUUGGACGUUUGUCCCUGUUUCGUCUGCCCCUUAGGAGACUGUGCCCCACAGAACCCCCUCCCGCUGUCCCGUUCCCCCUACCAUUCUUAAUACUAAUGAUAAUAAGCUAUCAGUGUUGUCAUUGCAAUCUAUGAACGAUAGAUUUAAGUAUUUAUGAUUAUUAUUAUGAUUAUUAUGGUUAUGAUUAUGUACUUUUUUGCUUCUUACUCUUUGUAUGUUGCUCCUUGUUUCUCUGUUGUGAAUAAACACAAGGCCCCAUCACACCUUCUCUCUGCUCCCAUGCCAGAGGAGGCAAACACAGCCCCAACAGACCCUAGUCUGAAGGUUUGGAGGGUGGUGCUUUCCAAGGACAUAAAGAAACCAAACCUGGGGCAGAUCCGUUCUCUUAACUCUUCCCUUCCUUCCUGCAGCUCCUCUCCCCCAUACUGCCAUCUGUUUGCAAGAGGCAGGAACCCACCAGCACCAGGAAUGGAGAAUUAAAUGGCAAAGCAUGAAGCAUAAAGUGUUAGCCACAAUGAGUGUUGGUUGGGCAUCCUGCUCACAGAGGCAGCUCCCUCCAGGUCGUGGCCCCCUGACCUUCUGCUAGCUGCACCUUGAGGCUGCAGCACCACCCAGAUGGGCUUGGGUUCUACUGCUGCCUCUGGUUUACCAGUCCCCCGCUCACCCCACUCAGCCGAGCCCACUCACUGGUGUUCCAUCCCAGAAAGGUGUCACGGGCUCUCCUGGUGUCAGUAUCCUCAUGGUGCCAGUGCCUCUGUCUGUCUGAGGCUGAUAAAGCACGAUGCCGUUAAGCAGGCAGAGCUCUGACCUUGUUUUAUGUACCCAUCACCUAGGCUGUUUACACAGCCCAGAGGUUUUCAGGUGGCUGUAAGGGGAAUAUUUUGCUAGGAGGAGACACUGGGGAAAGGGAAGAGGAGCCCCACCUGCACCAUGGUUUGAAAUACUCUCUGUACCGUGAGCCCCAUGAAGAGUCAUCUUGAUCCGGGGAUUUUAACAAGGCCCUUCCCCAUGCAGUCCUGACACAAUCUGCUCCGUCACUACUUUGCCUCCUCGUGGGUUGGGCUCGUUCCCAUCACCCCGUGCUGAACUCAUUCCCGAGGCUGCUCCAGGACCAGAGCUCAGGUCUCAGCCGCAGAGAGCCCCUGCAGAGCCCGGGGUCCCGCUCCGGCAUCACCCUUCCUACCUCACCUGUGCUUGGAUGGGGUGGGAGCGGGCAGGGCCCCUCGCACCGCAGCUCAGCUCCCGCCAGCAUCCCCACAGGACCCAGCCCUUCCUCUGAGAGCACAACACACGGAUGGGGUCUGCAUCCACUGCAGACACCGUGCAGGUCCUGAGCAGGGAAGAUGCUCCGGCUGCUGAUCCCACCGCAUUGCCCCGUUGCUGCGGGUGGGACUGAACACAGCUCGUUUCGCCCGCUCGGACUCAGAGAGACGUCCUGCCUCUGCCCCGUCUUUAUUUUAUUUAUUACCAGAGGCUGUAAGCAGCAGUGCUUCUCUACCCCCUCUUUCUUUUCCUUUCUUUUGUAUUUUGGAACGAUGUGUUGUAAUAAAUACCCAAAUAGGUGUUUU
rnacentral:lncRNA from 1 species